rnacentral:rRNA from 1 species
UACGAAGGGUGCAAACGUUGCUCGGAAUUAUUGGGCGUAAAGCGCGCGUAGGCGGCUCUGCAAGUCCCAUGUGAAAUCCCACGGCUCAACCGUGGAAGUGCAUGGGAAACUGCAGUGCUUGAGUACUUAAGAGGAUCGCGGAAUUCCCGGUGUAGAGGUGAAAUUCGUAGAUAUCGGGAGGAACACCAGUGGCGAAGGCGGAGACCUGGGCCGAUACUGACGCUGAGGUGCGAAAGCGUGGGGAGCAAACAGG